rnacentral:rRNA from 1 species
UAGGGGAGAAAUUCCAAUCGAACCCGGAGAUAGCUGGUUCUCCUCGAAAUAGCUUUAGGGCUAGCCUCAUGGAUCAUUGAUGGGGGUAGAGCACUGAAUGUGCGCGGGGGCCACAAAGCCUACCAAACGCUAUCAAACUUCGAAUACCAUACAAUGCAGACCAUGGGAGUCAGUCCGCGAGAGAUAAGUUCCGCGGGCAAAAGGGGAACACCCCAGAUCAACCGCUAAGGUCCCCAAGUUCACGUUAAGUGGAGAAGGAUGUGGAAUUGCACAGACAACCAGGAUGUUGGCUCAGAAGCAGCCACACAUUUAAAGAGUGCGUAAUAGCUCACUGGUCGAGUGAUUGUGCGCCGAAGAUGUCCGGGGCUAAACGUGACACCGAAGCGAUGGGUGCAUCUGAAGAAGAUGCGCGGUAGAGGAGCAAUGUGCAGAGGCAGAAGCCGUAUCGAGAGGCACGGUGGACACUGCACAAGAGAGAAUGCCGGUAUGAGUAGCGAGAGGCAUGCGAGAAACAUGCCCGUCGAAAGCCCAAGGUUUCCUGGGGAAGGUUCAUCCGCCCAGGGUAAGUCGGGGCCUAAGCCGAGGACGGAAGUCGUAGGCGAUGGACAGCAGGUGUAGAUUCCUGCACUACCGAUGGAAUGAAGCAGUGACACAGAAGGAUAACUCGAGCAGGGUGAUGGUCAACCCUGUGCAAGCAUCAAGGUUGGGUUGUAGUGAAGUACGCAACCCUAUAAGCUGAGGUGUGAUGCGGACCGAAAUUUCAGUAGGGAAGCGAGUGAGUUCACGCUGGCGAGAAAAGCUGCUAGUACAUCCAAAGGUACCCGUACCGGAAACCGACGCAGGUGGGCGAGGAGAGAAUCCUGAGACGAACGGGAGAACCCUUGUUAAGGAACUCGGCAAAAUGACCCCGUAACUUCGGGAUAAGGGGUGCCUGCGAGAGCAGGCCGCAGAGAAUAGUCACAAGCGACUGUUUAGCAAAAACACAGGUAUCUGCGAAAGCGAGAGCUGACGUAUAGGUGCUGACACCUGCCCGGUGCUGGAAGGUUAAGGGAACAUGUUAGAGCAAUCGAAGCAUCGAACCGAAGCCCCAGUAAACGGCGGCCGUAACUAUAACGGUCCUAAGGUAGCGAAAUUCCUUGUCGGGUAAGUUCCGACCCGCACGAAUGGUGUAACGACUUGUGAGCUGUCUCAACAGGGGGCCCGGUGAAAUUGAAGUAUGGGUGAAGAUGCCCAUUACCCGCGACUGGACGGAAAGACCCCGUAGAGCUUUACUGCAGCCUGAUAUUGAGUUUCGGUAACUGAUGCACAGGAUAGGUGGGAGUCUGAGAGACAUGGGUUUCGGCUCGUGUGGAGACGCUGUUGGGAUACCACUCUUCGGUUACUGAAAUUCUAACAUAGCUCUGUGAAACCAGAGGAUGGACAGUGUCAGGUGGACAGUUUGACUGGGGCGGUCGCCUCCGAAAGAGUAACGGAGGCGCCCAAAGGUACCCUCAGAAUGGAUGGAAACCAUUCGAAGAGCGCAAAGGCAGAAGGGUGCCUGACUGCGAGAUUGACAAAUCGAGCAGAGACGAAAGUCGGGCUUAGUGAUCCGGCGGUAUUGAGUGGAAAAGCCGUCGCUUAACGGAUAAAAGCUACCUCGGGGAUAACAGGCUGAUCUCCCCCAAGAGUCCACAUCGACGGGGAGGUUUGGCAC